rnacentral:ncRNA from 1 species
CAUGUACCAACGGGGAGCUGGCGGAGGCCGGCUGAGAGGAAGCCCGUGGGGUCGCACAUCGAACUGCGCCGCGCCGUAUGGCACGCGAAUGGCUCGACAUCGAUUCGGCAUCACGCCGACGCCGCGCCCCGCACCGCUUCGACCCGCAACCUGAUCCGGGUAAUGCCGGCGUAGGGAUCGAGCAGCCUUGUUCC